rfam:Nicotiana sylvestris Nsyl_contig173653, whole genome shotgun sequence.
GUUCCGGUAGGAACAUUGGAUAAAAGUGGAACGAUACUGAGAAGAUUAACAUGGUCUGUGCGCAAGAAUGACAGGCACAAAUGUGUUAGUACUCAUUCAUUU